GAUGAACGCUGGCGGCGUGCCUAAUACAUGCAAGUCGAGCGAACAGACGAGGAGCUUGCUCCUCUGACGUUAGCGGCGGACGGGUGAGUAACACGUGGAUAACCUACCUAUAAGACUGGGAUAACUUCGGGAAACCGGAGCAAAUACCGGAUAAUAUUUUGAACCGCAUGGUUCAAUAGUGAAAGACGGUUUUGCUGUCACUUAUAGCUGGAUCCGCGCUGCAUUAGCUAGUUGGUAAGGUAACGGCUUACCAAGGCAACGAUGCGUAGCCGACCUGAGAGGGGGUUCGCCCACAUGGGAGGUGGAACGCGGUCCUGACUCCUACGGGAGGCAGCAGUAGGGAAUGGUCCGCAAUGGGCGAAAGCCUGACGGAUCAACGCCGCGUGAGUGAUGAAGGUCUUCGGAGCGUAAAACUGUGUUAUUAGGGAAGAACACAUGUGUAAGUAACUAUGCACGUCUUGACGGUACCUAGUCAGAAAGCCACGGCUAACUACGUG
rnacentral:rRNA from 1 species